rnacentral:misc_RNA from 1 species
GAUGAAGAACGUAGCGAAAUGCGAUACGUAAUGUGAAUUGCAGAAUUCAGUGAAUCAUCGAAUCUUUGAACGCAUAUUGCGCUCUUUGGUAUUCCGAAGAGCAUGCUUGUUUGAGUAUCAGUAAACACCUCAAAGCUUUUGGAUUUUUUAAUCGAAAAGCUUUGGACUUGAGCAAUCCCAACACCAAUCUUUUUGAGAUCGGUGGCGGGUUGCUUGAAAUGCAGGUGCAGCUGGACAUUCUCCUGAGCUAAAAGCAUAUUCAUUUAGUCCCGUCAAACGGAUUAUUACUUUUGCUGCAGCUAACAUAAAGGGAGUUUGACCGUAUUGGCUGAUUGAUGCAGGAUUUCACAAGGGUCGUCAACGAUUCUUGUUAAACUCGAUCUCAAAUCAAGUAAGACUACCCGCUGAACUUAAGCAUAUUAAUAAGCGGAGGA